UCAGACGAUGCGUCAUGCAUAUCAAUAAGCGGAGGAAAAGAAACUAACAAUGAUUCCCUUAGUAACGGCGAGUGAAGCAGGAAAGAGCUCAAAUUUGAAAUCUUCAAGGUUUUACCUUGACGAAUUGUAGUUUAAAGAAGUGUUUUCUGUUGAAGUUUUGGUAAAAGUUCUUUGGAAUAGGACAUCAUAGAGGGUGAGAAUCCCGUAUUUGACCAUUAUUUUCAGCUGUGUGAUACACUUUCAAAGAGUCGGAUUGUUUGGGAAUGCAGUCCAAAAUGGGUGGUAAAUUUCAUCUAAAGCUAAAUAUUGGCGAGAGACCGAUAGCGAACAAGUACCGUGAGGGAAAGAUGAAAAGAACUUUGAAAAGAGAGUUAAACAGUACGUGAAAUUGUCAAAAGGGAAGCGUUUGACACCAGUGUUGUUUUCUCGAAAAUCAAUUAAAAAUGAGUUAGAUUUUGUAUGUGUAUUGACCUUAACAGCUUGCAUGUACAUUUUUCGUGUCUUUUUUAAUGCACUUUUCGUUUAACAAGUCAACAUCAGUUUCUUUUGUUGUAAAAAGGUCAUUGGAAGGUGGCUUUCUUUUCGGAGAAAGUGUUUAUAGCCUUUGACUCCUGCAAUCGGAGAGACUGAGGUCUGCAGCGUAGAUCCUUCGGGGUUAGAUACAUUUGUGCUAAGUUAUAGCUUUUUAUAGACAACUUGUUGACUAUGAUUAGUCUUGUAGCUUACUCGCUUAUGCUAUUUUACCUACGCUUAGGAUGUUGAGUCGUAGAGCACGCAG
rnacentral:rRNA from 1 species